AUUGAACGCUGGCGGCAGGCUUAACACAUGCAAGUCGAGCGCGCGGCGGACGGGAGAGUAAUGUCUGGGAAACUGCCUGAUGGAGGGGGAUAACUACUGGAAACGGUAUCUAAUACCGCAUACCAUCAGAUGUGCCUAGAUGGGAUUAGCUAGUAGGUGGGGUAAUGGGUCACCUAGGCGACGCUCCCUAGCUGGUCUGAGAGGAGGAACAGCCACACUGGGACUGAGACACGGUCCAGACUCCUACGGGAGGCAGCAGUGGGGAAUAUUGCACAAUGGGCGCAAGCCUGAUGCAGCCAUGCCGCGUGUGUGAAGAAGGCCUUCGGGUUGUAAAGCACUUUCAGCGAGGAGGCGUUACUCGCAGAAGAAGCACCGGCUAACUCCGUGCCAGCAGCCGCGGUAAUUC
rnacentral:rRNA from 1 species